GCAAGUGGCGAUAGCAUGUUGAACGCACCAGUUCCCGAUGGAUAACUGAAGUUAAGCAACGUUGUUCGUGGUUGGUAUACGAAACGUUGUACGUUAUAGGUGGUUGGUGACCACCUGGA
rnacentral:rRNA from 1 species